rnacentral:rRNA from 1 species
GACGAACGCUGGCGGCGUGCUUAACACAUGCAAGUCGAACGGAAAGGCCCUGCUUUUGUGGGGUGCUCGAGUGGCGAACGGGUGGGUAACACGUGAGUAACCUGCCCUUGACUUUGGGAUAACUUCAGGAAACUGGGGCUAAUACCGGAUAGGAGCUCCUGCUGCAUGGUGGGGGUUGGAAAGUUUCGGCGGUUGGGGAUGGACUCGCGGCUUAUCAGCUUGUUGGUGGGGUAGUGGCUUACCAAGGCUUUGACGGGUAGCCGGCCUGAGAGGGUGACCGGCCACAUUGGGACUGAGAUACGGCCCAGACUCCUACGGGAGGCAGCAGUGGGGAAUAUUGCUCAAUGGGCGGAAGCCUGAUGCAGCAACGCCGCGUGCGGGAUGACGGCCUUCGGGUUGUAAACCGCUUUCGCCUGUGACGAAGCGUGAGUGACGGUAAUGGGUAAAGAAGCACCGGCUAACUACGUG